UGUCAUGCGACAGGUCACAGCGGCCACUGUUGCCCCAACUACGGGCUGUUUACAUUUCGGGGCAAUUCAGUGAGCUAAAUACUGUUAAGGUUCAAGUCCUUGUCCCUCUGAGAAUCCCAAACCUCUCCGGAACCUCCAACAAUUAAGAUUCCUACCACAGUCUGCUGCUAAGUAAUUCCAAGGUUUGCUGAGAUCUUCCUGAGAUCAAUUGUGCAGCCUUUCCAAAGAGGUGAAUAUUAAGUCUCCAGUCCAUACAGCAACUGCAAGAUUAGAACAGCCCACCAGUGUACGUCAAAGAUUUAUUAACCUUAAGCUUCUACAAAAGAAAACCUGAUUUUUUCUCACAGCAGUACAUGCUGCCCAUGCAUAAACAAUCAAAGUUAAACUGAGAAAAGAUGGAUACACAUGGAGCUGCUACCGAUUGGGAAAGGAUUUGGUUAUUUUAUUAUUUCAUAAUGCUGAGCUGUGAUGGACCUGAGGACAUCUGAGAAAAAAAAAAAAUUGCCCAAAUGAAAAAAUAAAUAGCCUUAGAAAAAAUGCA